UCGGGAAUUUUGGGCAAUGGGGGAAACCCUGACCCAGCAACGCCGCGUGAAGGAUGAAGUAUUUCGGUAUGUAAACUUCGAAAGAAUAGGAAGAAUAAAUGACGGUACUAUUUAUAAGGUCCGGCUAACUACGUGCCAGCAGCCGCGGUAAUACGUAGGGACCAAGCGUUGUUCGGAUUUACUGGGCGUAAAGGGCGCGUAGGCGGCAAUUCAAGUCAUCUGUGAAAUCUCCGGGCUUAACUCGGAACGGUCAGAUGAUACUGCUUUGCUAGAGUGCAGAAGGGGCAAUCGGAAUUCUUGGUGUAGAGGUGAAAUUCGUAGAUAUCUGGAGGAACAACAGAGGCGAAAGCGGCUUACUGGACUAUUACUGACACUGAGAUGCGAAAGCGUGGGGAGCAAACAGGAUUAGAUACCCUCGUAGUCCCUGAGCGGGCUGGCAAGGCGCAU
rnacentral:rRNA from 1 species